CCCUUAGAUGUUCUGGGCCGCACGCGCGCUACACUGAUGCAUUCAACGAGUCUAAAACCUGCUCUGAUAGGGGUGGGUAAUCUUUUGAAUGUGCAUCGUGAUUGGGAUAGAUGAUUGAAAUUUUUCAUCUUCAACGAGGUAUGCCUAGUAAACGCAAGUCAUCAGCUUGCAUUGAUUACGUCCCUGCCCUUUGUACACACCGCCCGUCGCUCCUACCGAUUGAAUGAUCCGAUGAAUAUCAUGGAUUGAGGAUGCAAGUAGGUUCACCUAUCUUCAUCUUCGAGAAGUGAAGUAAAUCUUAUCAUUUAGAGGAAGGAGAAGUCGUAACA
rnacentral:rRNA from 1 species